rnacentral:rRNA from 1 species
AGUGAACGCUGGCGGUAGGCCUAACACAUGCAAGUCGAACGGCAGCACAGUAAGAGCUUGCUCUUACGGGUGGCGAGUGGCGGACGGGUGAGGAAUACAUCGGAAUCUACUUUUUCGUGGGGGAUAACGUAGGGAAACUUACGCUAAUACCGCAUACGACCUACGGGUGAAAGCAGGGGAUCUUCGGACCUUGCGCGAUUGAAUGAGCCGAUGUCGGAUUAGCUAGUUGGCGGGGUAAAGGCCCACCAAGGCGACGAUCCGUAGCUGGUCUGAGAGGAUGAUCAGCCACACUGGAACUGAGACACGGUCCAGACUCCUACGGGAGACAGCAGUGGGGAAUAUUGGACAAUGGGCGCUAGCCUGAUCCAGCCAUACCGCGUGGGUGAAGAAGGCCUUCGGGUUGUAAAGCCCUUUUGUUGGGAAAGAAAAGCAGCAGGUUAAUACCCCGCUGUUCUGACGGUACCCAAAGAAUAAGCACCGGCUAACUUCGUG